CACGCAGGCGGCUGUGCCAAGUCUGACGUGAAAGCUCCUGGCUUAACUGGGAGAGGUCGUUGGAAACUGGUCGGCUUGAGGUAAUGAGAGGGGUGUGGAAUUCCCGGUGUAGUGGUGGAAUGCGUAGAUAUCGGGAGGAACACCAGUGGCGAAAGCGGCACCCUGGCAUUAAUCUGACGCUCAUGUGCGAAAGCGUGGGGAGCGAACAGGAUUAGAUACCCUGGUAGUCC
rnacentral:rRNA from 1 species